rnacentral:ncRNA from 1 species
AUAGAGUUUGAUUCUGUCUCAAUAAUUAUCUUAUUUUUUAAUUUAUAUGGGAGUUUUUAAAUUUUGGUUUAUCCAGUAUUUAAUAUUAAUUUUUUAGUUUAUCAACUGAGUUAGUAAAUUAAUUUAUAAUAGAUUAAAUUUGUGCCAGCAUUCGCGGUUAUACAAUUUAUUAAAGUUAAUUUUUUUGAAUUUAAUUUUAAAUAUUUUAUAUAGGGUUAAGUUACUUAAUAUUUAGGUGGAAUUUAUAUUGAUUUUAUAUCUCUUUAUUUAUUCUUAGAAAAUUUUAAUGGUAAACUAGGAUUAGAUACCCUAUUAUUUAUUACUUAGUUUUUAAUUUUGAAUAGUAUUAGCUAUGUUCUUUAAAGCUCAAAGAAUUUGGCGGUAAAAUAUCUUCUUAGAGGAACCUGUAGAUUAAUCGAUAAACCACGAUAUAAUCUACUUUUAUUAAAAAGUUUGUAUACCGCUAUAUUAAGGAAUGUUCUUAUAGGAUUAUUUUCUUUUUCCCUGUGGGUUUAUGUUAGGUCAAGGUGCAGUUUUAUAAAAGUUUCUAUGGGUUACUUUAAUUAAAAUUUUUAGGAUCAUAUUUAGUUGUUUAAGUUAUGUUAAUAAGGAUUUAAUAGUAAAAUGGAUUAAUUAAUCUGUUUGAAUUUUGUUCUAUUUUAUGUACAUAUCGCCCGUCACUCCUAAUUUAAGUUAGGAUAAGUCGUAACAAAGUAAUUUUACCGGAAGGUGAGGUUAGAUGAUUAUUUAU